GGAGUAGUACUCAAGAGGUUGAAGAGGCGCCCCUGCUAAGGGUGUAGGUCGGGCAACUGGCGCGAGAGUUCGAAUCUCUCCUACUCCGCCA
rnacentral:tRNA from 1 species